GAUGAACGCUAGCUACAGGCUUAACACAUGCAAGUCGAGGGGAAACGACAUCGAAAGCUUGCUUUUGAUGGGCGUCGACCGGCGCACGGGUGAGUAACGCGUAUCCAACCUGCCCACCACUUGGGGGAUAACCUUGCGAAAGUAAGACUAAUACCCGAUGAUAUCUCUAGACGACAUCUGAAAGGGAUUAAAGAUUUAUCGGUGAUGGAUGGGGAUGCGUCUGAUUAGCUUGUUGGCGGGGUAACGGCCCACCAAGGCAACGAUCAGUAGGGGUUCUGAGAGGAAGGUCCCCCANAUUGGAACUGAGACACGGUCCAAAACUCCUAGGGAGGCAGCAGUGAGGAAUAUU
rnacentral:rRNA from 1 species